rnacentral:sRNA from 1 species
UCUUCUGUUUUAAUUCAAAUUGAUUCGAAUUGGGUAAUUCGAAUUAGCCAAUUCGAAUCAAUUUGAAUUAAAACAGAAGAGCAACUAU